CGGGGCCAGCCGGACAUGCUGACCUGGCCCGGCUGAGCCCAGCCAGCCCCGCUGCCGGGAAUUGCAGCGUGUCCCGGGCUGGAAGGGACCCGGGAAGAGCAUCAGCAUCCACAGCCCGACACAGCAUCCCCCCGGCAUGGAGCCCGCGGCCGAGGUGAAGAGGAAUAGUUUCCCCAGCAUGAACUUUGAAGCUGAGAUUCUGACAACACCACACGAUAAUUCAGAGCUCUACAUGAUCCCUUCCAUGAGGAGCCUCACAGCUGAGGAGUAUGUGGAGGCCUUCAAGUCAUUCUUGGAGCACUCAACGGAGCACCAGUGCAUGGAUGAGUUCAACAAGGAACAAAUGCCCACCAUCGUGGCUGGUCUGGGUGCUGGAAAAUCGACCCUCAGCGUUCUGGGAGUUGGGAGUGGCACAGGUGAGCAGGACUUGAAAAUGAUCAGGAUACUACAGGCUGUGCACCCAGGGGUCUUUAUUGACAAUGAGAUUGUGGAGCCCAACCCACAGCACGUGGCAGCUUACAAAGAGCUGGUGAGUCAAGCUCCAGACCUGCAGAAUGUUUCUUUUAUUUGGCACCAGCUCACUUCCUUGGAGUAUGAACAGCAGGUGAAGGAGAGAGGCACACAUAAGAAAUUUGACUUCAUCCAUAUGAUCCAGAUGCUGUAUCGUGUGGAGGAUAUUCCCAGUACUAUCAAGUUUUUCCACAGCUGCCUCGACCAUCAUGGCAAACUCCUGAUCAUAAUUUUGUCAGACAGCAGCGGCUGGGCCAGCCUGUGGAGGAAGCACAGGGACUGCCUGCCCGCCACCGACAGCGGCCACUACAUCACCUGCAGCGGCAUCACCGAGGUGCUGCAGGGGCUGGGGGUGCAGCACCGCGUCUACGAGCUGCCCUCGGGCUGGGACAUCACCGAGUGCUUCGCCGAGGGGGACGCGGAGGGCGGCCGCAUGAUGGAUUUCCUGACGGGCACCAAGAACUUCCUGGGCACGGCCCCGGCGGCGCUGCGGCGGCGGCUGCGGGAGGCGCUGCGCCAGCCCGAGUGCAGCAGCACCCGGGACGGCAGGGUCAUCUUCAGCAACAACCUCAGCAUGAUCGUCGUGGACUCCUAGAGCCACGGCUUGUGGCUUGUUGUGAGCAGCGUGCAUCCCGGCUGUGCUUUCGCUGGGACUGGCACUGCUCUGUGGGGUGGCGGCAGGUUUGCUCGCCCACAGAGGAGCCCGCGCGGCCUUGGCGGCCGUGAGGGAGGCGGCCAGGUACAGACCUCUGCUCCACUGUGAUGCCUUCUGCCCCAGCCGGGCCGCCACACACUGAUUCCUCGUGAAGGCUGGCCUAGAACAGAGCUAAAGAAUGAAGUAGGGAUUUAUUAGGAGGCCUCAAUGGAUCCACCUUGGGCAGCGCAAGAGCCCAGCCAGGGCUGCACCCAAGAUGAACCAAAACGGUCACAAAAUGCACGAGCGCUCACGGGGUCUCUCACUUUUAUAAGUUCUGCUCCAUUUGCAGAUUGGAGUGAAUUGCCAAUCACAGCUUUAGCCCAUGAAGUCCCAUCCUUCUUGUUUUUCUCUCUUCAGCCGAUGUUUGAUCUCUUGGGCCUGAGAUUUGGAUCAUUUGUCCUUGGUCCCCAGCUAGAAAAAGAAUUGUUUUGUCUGCCUCUCUCUGUGAAGAGAGCUCACCAUCCCCUAAUAUGAAGCUCAAAAGUUCACACUAAAGCAACACAGAAUCUGAAAACUAUAAAAGCUAAAACCUGAGGCAUCACCAGGAUAAAACCACCAAGAUGUCCCAUCUGCUUUGCACCCAGAAUUUCAGACUGUGCUUCCCCAGCAACAGGAGUGUGGCCACGAGAGGGCUGCAGCAGCCAGCAGAAUAAAUCCACCUCAAUGCACCUCCCAAAGCUCUGGAAAUGCUGAGCUGAAGCAGCAGAACCAGACAUUCAGGCAGACAAAUGCAUUCAGCUUCCUCUGCUGGCUCAUCACACCCUGAUCCCAGCAGUUGGGACCACACUUUUUCCUACUGAACUCAUGGGCUCUGACUCUGGGCUCUGGUUUGUAAAAAACUCACGAUGGCACAGCACAGCUGCCACAAGGGAUGCACAAAAUCUGCUUUUGGGUUGGUUUUUUUCUCCCACUCGAUGGCUGGAGUGCUGCAGCUCGCCUGCCACGGAGCUCAGGUCUGUGGACAGGGACCCAGGAGUGACAGAUCCCAGGGAGGGAAACACCAGGAGGGGGAUGGCAGGAGUGAGAGGCUGCUUCAGCCCUAGCUUUGAGCCAAAUUGACCCUGCUGAGCUCAGUCCAGGAGGAGCUGUGCUCCAUAAUGAGUUUCCUGGCAGUUCCCACUAGUGAAGAGCCAGUCUGUGUCUCCCAGAGGGAAUUGUGAUGCUCCAUCAGCACCAGUUUGUUCCAGCCCAGGGAGAAGGCUUUUGUGGAUAACCAUGCUGUCCUGUGCUCUCUGCAGCAGAAUCAAUGCCUGCAAAACCCAAACUGUGCAGUUUCACAUGGAGCAGUUGCAGAUUUUUUCCUGAUUUCCAGUUCAUAAUAUGCCCAUUUCAAUGCACAGCUCUGCUUGUGUUACAGUCCCCUAAAAAGGAGCUAUAGAGAACAAGUCUUUACAACAUCAAGGAUGGAUAAUUUUAGUUUUACUGGGCCUAUAUGCAGUCUUGGGGGCUGAAUGGUUUGCCUUUGAAGUGUUAAGGCUUCUCUACUCAUGAAUAUCAUCAGGGGAAUGAAGGUAGCAUGGGAACUGCAAAAUCUAGGAGCUGAUUUCUGAAUAAUCUCAUUAAAAAACAAGCUCAGUAAAAUACUGGAGCAUUUACUAAAAAGAUUAUACUUAAUCUCAAUAGGAGGGAAAAAUAAAGAGACUGAACUUUUUUCCCUCCCCCUUCAACAUUUUCUCACAGAAAUCUGUUGAGGUUUAUGUCAAGCAUGUAGGAUUGUGCUCACAUUUUUGGAGCUUAUAAAGGCCUUCAUAGGAAUAAUACCCUCCUGGACAGAGCUCUAGAAAGGUAUUUCCCAUCCUGCUUUUUAAACAGAAUAUUUUUUUCAAGAUCCUAUCCUCCAGACUGAGGAUGAAUAUCUAAUCCAAGUCUCGAAUAUCUUUAUUAUUGAGCAUUGCUUCUUGUAGUCACUCCCCUCCCUUACUGAAGUAUCAACAGAAACUUAAAUCUUGCUAAAUGGUGAAAGUCCUCUUAGGCAGAGAAUGUGUUGUUCAUCCCCCAUUCUCCUUUAAUUCCUUGUUAACAACAAAUAAAUAAACAAAGAAACAAAUCCCUCCAAGAGAAAUGUUUGGAGCACAACCUCCAGCUGGAAAGGUCUGGUGCUGAGGAGGGUUUGUGGGACAUGUGAGAUGGCAGAAUCCCAGUGGGGCUUUUCUUCUCAUCUCUGAGAAGGAACAGGGAAGAGCAGAACAGGAGUUUCAUUUCCACUCCCCACUUCUGAUGACACGUUUGAUUAGACGUGCCAGCAAAUUGCUAGAGAAAACAUGUUUUGUCAUACAUUGUAAUGAUGGUUCCUCUGGUGAAUUUAUAAGCGUGAUAAGGAAAUUUUCAGAGCGGUCUCUGAGUCCCUAUUGCUUUGUUAACAUUUUUUAGCAUCCUAUUAAUCACUCUGUAUGUAUCUGUCAACAGCUGAUAUUAUGGAUUAAGGAAGAUUACAGCUCAUUGCUCCAGUGGCUGUUUUCUUUAGGAUUUAACUCCACAGGCACUUUGCCACUCACCUCCCUCUGACAAAACCAGCCCCUUGCUUUUGCCAACACUUUGCAGUGCUUCCCUGACUAAGAGUGGGUUUACUUAAAAAAGUAUCAAAAGUGCUCAUACAGGAGGGAAACGUUUUGAUUUUGUUAUUUCUGGAAGAAGAGCUAACACACUUUCAGUGCUGAAGAAAGAGUCCACAAGGUCCUGAUUUACAGAUGUUUCCAUGCAGAUUAAUGUUGACUUUGUUUUGUCAUGCUUGUGCAGAUCAUGUCACUUGUUAUUUGGGGAAAGGGGAUGUUAUUUGAGGAAAUUCAGAAAAAAGUUCUACAGGUUGAAUAAAUUUAACUCAUAGAGUUUCUCCAUUCUUUACUAUCAGCUAUAGGCUGUUCUCCAAUUCUACGUAUUUCUUAUCCACUCUGGGAUACAGAGAAAUCCUCGUGACUCCCGUGAUGCAGCAAAAAGCAGAAUUAACACUGGAGAAUACAACAGCUAACCCAUUAAUUACCUUCAGACUAAAAUUUAUUCACCCAAACUUACUCCCUUGUGCCAGGACUUGUUUUUAUACACAAAAACAAUAAUAUCAGAAAUACCAGUUUUGACCUAGACAUUUUUCCUGAACUUACUUAAUGUUUACAUCUUGUCUCCAAGGCCUUAUCAUUCCUCUCUCU